ACUCCAGAAUCUGCAAGACCUAGAGAGAUCUUCCGUGCGUUCUCUGUUCAGCUCCUCCUCGCCGUCAUUCCCCAUUUCUUUCCUCAUCACCGGCGGCUUGCCAUCUUCCCAUUCUUUCUGCUGUUCGUCCGCCGCUGAGAUGAGUGAUUCAGGUCUUUCUAUUCUUUUCUCUUUCCGUCUGUUCGUCUGUUCAAAUGGAGCUGUGAUUGAAGCUCUUCCCUUGUCUCCUUUCUCGUCUACUCUUUUUGUGACCUGCUUAUUUCUUCUCCACUGAAGAUCUACCGAGAAUUGGUAUUGUCUCUCAUCCCCUGUUUCUGGUUGCUGUCAUACCGUGUUCCAUCAGUGGUAUGGGAUGAACGUGUGCUGGGUUGUCUCUUCUUUCCCCUCUGCUGUUCGUCUCUUUCUGUCAAAAAGUUGUGUGUGUGUGUGUGGUAGCUCGAUUCCUUCUUUUGUUGGGGGAAAAAAAAUUGAUGGUCUUCCACCUUCUCGUUUGUGUAGCGAGCUGAAGCUCUUUUUCUUCUCCUGCUGCAGCGUCGGUCACUUGUUGAUUUUUAGUGAUGGGUAUUGCAAAUUUCGUUUGAGGUAAUUAAUUAGUGGCAUUAUGGGAGUAUAAGUAAGAGGCUUAAAAAGGGAGCAAGCCAUAGAGAUACUUGGAUAUGUGUGUAAGAUAAUGUAAUUGACCAUGUAUCUCCUCCUAAUCAUCAAGGGACUUUAUCGCUUUUUGGAUGAUGGAAGCAUGGUUUACUCAUUUUUUUUAAUGUAAACAUUCAUUAUAUUAUAUAAUGAUAGUUAGUGCUUCACGUAUACUGUAAUUAAGUUCAAAUUUUAUUUUGGUGGUAUGUAAUUUGCUGGUGUGGAGCUAGUCUAGUCUCCUUUACAAGAUUGAUUGACUGG